GAUGAACGCUGGCGGCGUGCCUAAUACAUGCAAGUCGAGCGAACGGACGAGAAGCUUGCUUCUCUGAUGUUAGCGGCGGACGGGUGAGUAACACGUGGAUAACCUACCUAUAAGACUGGGAUAACUUCGGGAAACCGGAGCUAAUACCGGAUGAUAUUUUGAACCGCAUGGUUCAAAAGUGAAAGACGGUCUUGCUGUCACUUAUAGAUGGAUCCGCGCUGCAUUAGCUAGUUGGUAAGGUGACGGCUUACCAAGGCAACGAUGCAUAGCCGACCUGAGAGGGUGAUCGGCCACACUGGAACUGGGACACGGUCCAAACGCCUGCGGGAGGCAGCAGAAGGGAAUCUUCCGCAAUGGGCGAAAGCCUGACGGAGCAACGCCGCGUGAGUGAUGAAGGUCUUCGGAUCGUAAAACUCUGUUAUUAGGGAAGAACAUAUGUGUAAGUAACUGUGCACAUCUUGACGGUACCUAAUCAGAAAGCCACGGCUAACUACGUG
rnacentral:rRNA from 1 species